UACGAAGGGGGCUAGCGUUGCUCGGAAUCACUGGGCGUAAAGGGUGCGUAGGCGGGUCUUUUAAGUCAGGGGUGAAAUCCUGGAGCUCAACUCCAGAACUGCCUUUGAUACUGAAGAUCUUGAGUUCGGGAGAGGUGAGUGGAACUGCGAGUGUAGAGGUGAAAUUCGUAGAUAUUCGCAAGAACACCAGUGGCGAAGGCGGCUCACUGGCCCGAUACUGACGCUGAGGCACGAAAGCGUGGGGAGCAAAUAGG
rnacentral:rRNA from 1 species